rnacentral:rRNA from 1 species
UACGUAGGUGACAAGCGUUGUCCGGAUUUACUGGGCGUAAAGAGCGCGCAGGCGGUCGAUCAAGUCGUGUGUGAAAGCCCCCGGCUCAACUGGGGAGGGUCAUUCGAUACUGAUCGACUCGAAGGCAGGAGAGGGUAGUGGAAUUCCCGGUGUAGUGGUGAAAUGCGUAGAUAUCAGGAGGAACACCGGAGGCGAAGGCGGCCAUCUGGCGAGACACUGACGCUAAGGCGCGAAAGCGUGGGUAGCAAACAGG